rnacentral:rRNA from 1 species
AUUGAACGCUGGCGGCAGGCCUAACACAUGCAAGUCGAACGAGUGGCGGAAGGGUGAGUAAUGUCUGGGAAACUGCCCGAUGGAGGGGGAUAACGACUGGAAACGGUAGCUAAUACCGCAUACCAGCGGAUGUGCCCAGAUGGGAUUAGCUAGUAGGGGGGGUACAGGCUCAAGUAGGCGACGAUCCCUAGCUGGUCUGAGAGGAUGACCUGCCACACUGGAACGGAGACACGGUCCAGACUCCUACGGGAGGCAGCAGUGGGGAAGAUUGCACAAUGGUCGCAAGCCUGAUGCAGCCAUGCCGCGUGUAUGAAGAAGGCCUUCGGGUUGUAAAGUACUUUCAGCGGGGAGGCGUUACCCGCAGAAGAAGCCCCGGCUAACUCCGUGCCAGCAGCCGCGGUAAUAC